rnacentral:lncRNA from 1 species
AUUAUCUCCACAGAGUGGUCUAAUCUGUUAAGCUGAUGUAUCAUCUUGGACUCAUGAUAGCUGAAAACCUGCACAAUACUUCACCACAUAAUGUAUUCAUACCCUAUAGUGAUUGUGAAGUUAGAGUUGGACACAAGAUCGCAAGAAAGCAAAAGGUUCAUGUGGUUGCCAACAGGGAAACUGGGAGCAAGAGGAUUAAGGGAUACUGCAGCAGAAACCUUUCCUGAGAUCUACCUUCCUUGGCCUCAUCUGAAAUAUUUUUCCUGUUAUGCCAUUUUGCUUUGAAAAAUAAAAAGCACUGUAGCUUGAAUCAAAGUAUAUCACAGACCAGAUGCUCUGCAGAUGUAAAUCAAGAGGGAUUCCGUGGCAUCUGAGGAGCAGUAUUGGUUUAUUAAUCAAUAUAUCAACUGGAGAUCUGUCACUUUAUAUGUAGAGAUACAUUCAUACAUAAAAGAGCUAUAGAAGGUAUGUUCAUUGAAUUGUCAAGUUCCUGACACUUGGAAAGGAGAACUGAUAGAUGAGGUACAAGUGUCCAGGUGAUUUCAUGGAACGGCACUUUUAUUUUACAAUUGACAGCAGAGAGAAACAAAUUCAGCAAAGACUCUGCUCCAGAAGUUUAAUCCUGACAAGAAAUGUGUGAAUAUAUUACAUUAUGUGUGCAUGCACACAAAUGUGUAUUUAGAGUGAGAAUAUGCAUGUGCAUACAUAUGUGCUGUGCAAUGUAUAUAUAAUAUCAAUUACAGUAUCUGCUUCCCUUACAGCUGAGCUGGGAACAUGAACAGGAGCAGAAAAUGUGUGAAAACAGCUGUCUCCAAAGAAUCCCUCUCCUCUCCUGACUGCAGGUUGCCAGUGUUUCCUAGAGACUGCACAAGCUACAAAGUUGUGCAUUAUUUAAGAGAAAGGCACAUAAAUCCCUCAUGAGGAUUCAACCCGAACGUG